rnacentral:rRNA from 1 species
AGAGUUUGAUCAUGGCUCAGGACGAACGCUGGCGGCACGCUUAACACAUGCAAGUCGAACGAGAGAAGAGGAGCUUGCUUUUCUGAUCUAGUGGCGGACGGGUGAGUAGCACGUGAGCAAUCUGCCUUUCAGAGGGGGAUACCGAUUGGAAACGAUCGUUAAUACCGCAUAACAUAAUUGAACCGCAUGAUUUGAUUAUCAAAGAUUUAUCGCUGAAAGAUGAGCUCGCGUCUGAUUAGCUAGUUGGUAAGGUAACGGCUUACCAAGGCGACGAUCAGUAGCCGGACUGAGAGGUUGAUCGGCCACAUUGGGACUGAGACACGGCCCAGACUCCUACGGGAGGCAGCAGUGGGGAAUAUUGCACAAUGGAGGAAACUCUGAUGCAGCGAUGCCGCGUGAGGGAAGAAGGUUUUAGGAUUGUAAACCUCUGUCUUCAGGGACGAAAAAAGACGGUACCUGAGGAGGAAGCUCCGGCUAACUACGUGCCAGCAGCCGCGGUAAUACGUAGGGAGCGAGCGUUGUCCGGAAUUACUGGGUGUAAAGGGAGCGUAGGCGGGAUCGCAAGUCAGAUGUGAAAACUAUGGGCUUAACCCAUAAACUGCAUUUGAAACUGUGGUUCUUGAGUGAAGUAGAGGUAAGCGGAAUUCCUAGUGUAGCGGUGAAAUGCGUAGAUAUUAGGAGGAACAUCAGUGGCGAAGGCGGCUUACUGGGCUUUAACUGACGCUGAGGCUCGAAAGCGUGGGGAGCAAACAGGAUUAGAUACCCUGGUAGUCCACGCCGUAAACGAUGAUUACUAGGUGUGGGGGGACUGACCCCUUCCGUGCCGCAGCAAACGCAAUAAGUAAUCCACCUGGGGAGUACGACCGCAAGGUUGAAACUCAAAGGAAUUGACGGGGGCCCGCACAAGCAGUGGAGUAUGUGGAUUAAUUCGAAGCAACGCGAAGAACCUUACCAGGUCUUGACAUCGUAUGCAUAGCUCAGAGAUGAGUGAGAUCUCUUCGGAGACAUAUAGACAGGUGGUGCAUGGUUGUCGUCAGCUCGUGUCGUGAGAUGUUGGGUUAAGUCCCGCAACGAGCGCAACCCUUACUGUUAGUUGCUACGCAAGAGCACUCUAGCAGGACUGCCGUUGACAGAACGGAGGAAGGUGGGGAUGACGUCAAAUCAUCAUGCCCCUUAUGACCUGGGCCUCACACGUACUACAAUGGCUGUCAACAGAGGGAAGCAAAGCCGCGAGGUGGAGCGAACCCCUAAAAGCAGUCUUAGUUCGGAUUGUAGGCUGCAACCCGCCUACAUGAAGUCGGAAUUGCUAGUAAUCGCAGAUCAGCAUGCUGCGGUGAAUACGUUCCCGGGCCUUGUACACACCGCCCGUCACGCCAUGGGAGUCGGUAACACCCGAAGCCUGUAGUCUAACCGCAAGGAGGACGCAGUCGAAGGUGGGAUUGAUGACUGGGGUGAAGUCGUAACAAGGUA